AGGGGCAGGCAAGGCGAGCCAGCACUGGUUUCACACACAAACAUGAAGAGCCAAGUGGCAGAUGAUGGACACCCCAGCUGCUUCCUUGGCCAGGAGUGUGUUUAGUCUAGGAUGCAGCCUGGAUCCUAGCAGGGCUGGGAAAGGAGACGACAAUUGCAAGAGACAAGGGGAACAGGACCAGGACUCCAGCCACAGGGAAGGAAAUCUUCACUGUGUAAAGCUGCUUGAGCAUGGCUGUGCUCCUCAAAGCUAUCCAGAUACAUGCAGUGAGGAUGGUUUGGACAUGCUGCACCCAUGCGUCACAUCCAUCCCAUGAUGGCAGGGCCCUCCUCAAAUGGUCCUUCCCCUUCAACUCCCAGGAGAACCUUGUGGAGACCAUAAGACUCCUCCACCAGUUGCAGUGCCAGAAUGUAGGGCAGGGACCCAGUGGGAGGAGGUGAGACUGCAGCUGAGGACAUCUGAAAGCAUAUUGCUUUAACUCUUCUCAUGCUGAAUAAGAUAAGUUAUGAUAACCUCAGUUUGACUCUAAAUUAUAAUGGUAAAGGCUGCCUGUCUUCAUAAUGCAAGUUCUUUUCUCUUGGCUCCAUCCUGA